AUCCAGCUGACGAGUCCCAAAUAUGACGAAAUGCGCAUCCUGAAU
rnacentral:hammerhead_ribozyme from 1 species